UACGUAGGGUCCGAGCGUUGUCCGGAAUUAUUGGGCGUAAAGGGCUCGUAGGCGGUCCGUCACGUCGGGAGUGAAAACUCAGGGCUCAACCCUGAGCGUGCUUCCGAUACGGGCGGACUAGAGGUAUGCAGGGGAGAACGGAAUUCCUGGUGUAGCGGUGGAAUGCGCAGAUAUCAGGAGGAACACCGGUGGCGAAGGCGGUUCUCUGGGCAUGUCCUGACGCUGAGGAGCGAAAGUGUGGGGAGCGAACAGG
rnacentral:rRNA from 1 species